GAUGAACGCUAGCGGCAGGCUUAACACAUGCAAGUCGAGGGGUAGAGGCUUUCGGGCCUUGAGACCGGCGCGCGGGUGCGUAACGCGUAUGCAAUCUGCCUUGUACUGGGGAUAGCCCAGAGAAAUUUGGAUUAAUACCCCAUAGUAUAUUCGGUUGGCAUCAACUGAUUAUUACAGUUUUUCGGUACAAGAUGAGCAUGCGUCCCAUUAGCUAGUUGGUAUGGUAACGGCAUACCAAGGCUACGAUGGGUAGGGGUCCUGAGAGGGAGAUCCCACACGCUGGCACUGAGGCACGGCAGAGACGCCUGCGGGGGUCGGGAGUAAGGAAUAUUAGUCAAUGGGCGCAAGAGGGAACCCGCCAUGCCGCGUGCAGGAUGAAGCAUCUAUGGUGUGUAAACUGCUUUUGUACGGGAAGAAACACUGCUACGAGGAGCAGGUGGACGGUACGGUAAGAAUAAGGAUCGGCUAAGUCCGUGCCAGCCGCCGCCGUGAGAC
rnacentral:rRNA from 1 species